rnacentral:lncRNA from 1 species
ACUGUUGCUGCCACCCCCUCCCCACGGAUCCAAGGAAAGGAAUCCAGAAUCACCAAGCGAAAAGAAGGCCUACACCUAGAGCCCGCCUUUUGAUUUUACAGACAAGGAAACUGAGGCCCAGGGAAAGAAAGGUUCUUGUUUCUAGACUGUCUAGAAGUCUAAAUAGGAAUUCCAGCAGUUCCCAGUCCCGAGCUCCAACUGCUCUGCUCGGCGUCAGAGCUAGAAGAUGAGAGGGCGCUGCUGAAGACAGGAUAGGCCGCUAACGUUCUUCCCUAACACCUUCCAGCCCUCCGCCCCCACCCCCACCCCUUAGUCAUCGGCCCUUUCUGGAGAGACUGGGAGCCGCUUGUGCACGGGGUCGUUACCAGCCCGCCAAUUCUGACCCAGCCUCAGGCAGACGGGCACGCAGCUACUGACCAGCGAAGAAGCCUUUCGGAGGCAGGGGUAGGGGUGGGGCGGGAAGGAGGAGGCGGACUCCAGGCCCACGGGCAUCGACGGGUUUGUUCCCGGCUUGAGGGUCUGAGAUCCACUCCGGCCUCCCGGGUGCCUGAUCCAUUCCGAAGGCCAGCCCGGCUGGCGCAGAGACAGUCUGGCGUCCGCCUUGGGCCCGGGGCAUCUGGCCAGCAGGUCUCCUCUGGUCUGUCCGCAGGACUCGCACCGAGACCUGGGAGCGCGGCUACGUCGGGCCGCUCUACCCAGAUCAUCACUCCUUAAGAAUCUUUGGUUCUUUAAAGACACCGGCCCCGAAGCUCACACCUCGAGACACCAGCAUUCGGCGUUAGACACACGCAGAGGGGACCAAGACUGCACAGCAUCCGCGAGGCUCGCACAGGCAAACGCGACGUCCGGCAUCUCUCACGCAUCAGCGCAGAGGCGCGACUCGGCUGCACGACCCUCCGAGAUUUCACCCCGGGGGUAGGGCCAUUCCCUGCCAGCCGGACUCUCUCCACUGUGGGCUUUCCCCAGGCUCGCGUUGGAAUCUGGGAAUCCCGGAGUGGUGACGCUUCAAGCUGGGGACUCUCGGUCUUACCUCCCGCUGUGGUUCCUUUCUUGGCCGAUGUCCACCUACCUGGGUCCCUCAUUCUCUCAACCUUUCUCAGCUCAACGCCCCCUCCCUCGGUGUGGUAGAGGGAGUGUGCCUCUCUUCAAAGCAAAGUCGAGGGGAGGGGGAAAGGAGAAGUUAAUGUGAGUGCUCUUUUUAGAAGGCAAAUCAUUCACCCAUUCAUUCAACAAUUAUUUAUUGAUGCCUACUAUGUGCCUAUCAUAGUUACUAGUCCAAAGACAGAGGGAGAAAGGCCCAUUCUCUCCUUGAACAGAUAUGGAACGUGAAGCCCAGAGAAGAAGAGCGAUUUUCUCGAGGUCCGGUAGGGAGUGGAUGAGUGGAAUUCCACUCCUGGACAAGAGAGUGAAUGAAGGGUGGGGGGUUACAUACAGGAGUGACGGAGACAAAAGCCUGGGCCUGCUGGUUCCACCUGUGGGAGCUCAGCAGGGCUGUGGGCCCUGGAGGUGCAUGGGGGGGUGGUGCAGGGAGGUCCUGGUUUCCUGCCCGAGGCGGGCUGGAAACCCCCCGCUCUCCCCGGCGCCUGGCGCCAGCAGCGCUGGGGUAGGGCAGAGCGCGGAGCCGGAGGCACGCGGGGAGGGAGCGCUGGGGGCCCGCUGCUGCGGCGGCUCUGCGGGGUCCCAAGCCUCCCUGGCCUGGAGGCAUUCUAGAAAGAGCGCAGGUAGAGAGUAAUUACGCUGUGGAGAGAAGGACCUCAACACACAAUCCUCAACACACGCCCAGUCUUUGUCCUAAUCCAAGUACAAUCUGCAACAGUGCCUCUCAGAGCGGCACACUAGGCCCUCAGAUUAUACAUUCACAGGUACAUGCACAAGGGCUCACAAAACCUUGCCGCCGUACACAAAAGCCCGUAUCUUCAUAAGACGCCCAAAAGUAUGUGUAUUCUCACAGUAAUACGCACAGCCACGGUACACACAGCAUUCAUGCAUUCCUAGGAUUUUACACAUUGUCUCUCUGUCACCCACAGGGUACAUACUCAUCACGCUUCAGAUGUGUUACACCUGGGAGCCGCUCCCAAUCCUCCAUUCAGGCAUGCACAGAGACCAAAGUCAUAUGGUAGAAACACAUAAAUUCUGAAUACUACACAAAUGCAGGGUUUCACACAUAAUCUCAUUGCCACAAUUUAAACCAGCUUGUAUCUUCCUAAGAUUCUCCACAAUUGUAUUCGCAACACAAACUUCCAAAAUCCCAUCAUACAUUUUGUAUAUUCUCAGUGUCACCGCUAAGCCUUCAGUGCACAAGUACACAGUCACAAUAUCUACUACAUAUGCACAGGUGCUCACAAAUAGAGGUUCUCACAUGCUCACACAUAACACACAUACAAAUGUGUGGCCCACGCGCCUGCCCAUAUGAGUCCUAGUUGCUUUUAUGAUGUUACACAGAUCACUCAAGGUUGUAUACAUCCCCCAUAUAUCUGGCCUGGUUAGUGUGGUGGGGAAUGCAUUAUCAGUACUGGGUGAGGAGUCCCAGUCCUAUGACACCCCUUGAGGGCCCCUGAGACUACCUGGCAGCCCCCCAUGGGUCUUAAAGAGCAGGGUGUCUCCAGCUGCCAGUGAUGUGGAAAGCACUGUUCCCCAACCUAGAGAAGGUAUUCAGUGUCAUUUUUCAAGCGGUGCCCCCACCAGAAACUCAGCCCUAAGGGAUCUCCUGAGGCUUGGGGCUGGGGCAACCCCCAGCAGGAUGACGUCGGGGGAGACUGCAGUACAACUAGGCUCUAGACUGCCUUCUCAGAGACCCCAAAAUGCUUUACUGUAGUCCGUGGAGAGCAGCAGAACUCCCGGGAUGGUGGGGACCUUGUAAGGUUGUUCUCUAUCUCUGCCCAAGCUAUAUUGUAGGAGGAGGUCUGAGACCUAGGAUUUUGGCUAAAAUUGCUUUAGGCUGGCAGGCAAGAGAUGUGACAGGCAAGAGUCCUGGCUUUCCCUAUCUAGCACCUCUUUGUUCCUUUCCAGUCCGAGCCUCAGUUUCCCCAGUUGCAGAAGAAGGGAAUAGGAUUGAUAGUCUGGAAUUCUGGAAUUCCCAGCUCCUCACUAUUGCAGGGACCCUGCCCUGGUUCCUCCUGGGACUUAGUGCUCAGCUCAGGGAUCCCUACAGAAGGACUCCGCUUUCCUCUUGCCUACCUCAACAGACCAAGGACUAGAACUCCCAGGGUCCUAGCCCACACUGCCCCUGCAGCCUCCUCUUAACGAACCUUGCUCACCUAAAGAGUGCCUUCAGGGGGGUUGGCCUUCUUAGUAUUUUCAAAUGCAGGCUUCUCGUUUCUUCCCCCAGUUGUAGUGGUGAGACCCGGCAGGAACUCUUCUUUACCCUGUUUUACAAAGUAGAGGGCUUAUGCACAUAAAACACAUUCCACCUUGCUAUGGAAUCGGGCCCAUCUGAGUUAAAACUGUGCACAUCAUUCCUCCCUGUGUGAAGCUUCUACACCUCAGUUUUCUCUUCUGUAAAUUGGAGGACAAUAAUAACCUCUGUGGAGGGCUGGCGUAAGAGUAAGCACAAGGCGAGGCUCUUAGCACAGUGACAGUAAACCUGGAUAAAUGGUGGCUCUGUUUUUAGGAAUAUUAAUUUCAUAGGGGCGGAAAUGGAAUUACAUGCCGCCACAUGACUACAAAGCUCUGGAUGGGGAGAAGGACCAGGACACUGAAUCCUCCUUGCAGGGCUCUGUUCUGACCUGACCUAGCUGCUUCUGACUGCCUUAGGUUCCUUCCCAUUCCCUACUGACCCUACACAACCCAGCCAUCAUAAGACUGGAGAUACAGAGACAUCGCCAGGUGUAGGAAUUAUGUUGCCAGAGACCCGAAUUCCAGUUCCAGAUUCCACCCUCCACCCCCAUGUCCCUCCCUAAAUGACUUGGUGGGGGGUGCAGUCUUGUCACCUACGGGACUCAGUUCCCCCAACCAUAACAGUAGGACAGCUGUACCCGGGCAAUGCGAAGGUCCCUCAAGCCUGGACGUUCUGCAGUGGUGGGGUCUCGCUCUUGCCCUAGCCCCUCUCCUACCCUCACCCCUAUCCGCGCCCCCCGGACUGGCAGGCCUCUGGAAGCCCAGGCCGCGGCGCCUACCGCAAAACCUUCUCCCGCCGCAGUC